rnacentral:rRNA from 1 species
UACAGAGGUCUCGAGCGUUAGGCGGAAUCACUGGGCUUAAAGCGUGUGUAGGCGGAUCGGUAAGUACCUUGUGAAAUCCCACAGCUUAACUGUGGAACUGCUUGGUAUACUGCCAGUCUUGAGCCAGCUAGGGGCUACCGGAAUAAAUGGUGGAGCGGUGAAAUGCGUAGAUAUCAUUUGGAACGCCAAUGGUGAAAACAGGUAGCUGGGGCUGUGCUGACGCUGAGACACGAAAGCCAGGGGAGCGAACAGG